rnacentral:rRNA from 1 species
UACGUAGGGGGCGAGCGUUGUCCGGAAUCAUUGGGCGUAAAGCGCGUGUAGGCGGCUUGGUAAGUCCGGUGUGAAACCUUGGGGCUCAACCCCAAGCCUGCACUGGAUACUGCCUCGCUUGAGUCCGGGAGGGGAGAGCGGAAUCCUAGUGUAGCGGUGAAAUGCGCAGAUAUUAGGAAGAACACCGGUGGCGAAGGCGGCUCUCUGGAACGGUACUGACGCUGAGACGCGAAAGCGUGGGGAAGCCGAA